GAUGAAGAACGUAGUGAAAUGCGAUAAGUAAUGUGAAUUGCAGAAUUCAGUGAAUCAUCGAAUCUUUGAACGCACAUUGCGCCCGCCAGUAUUCUGGCGGGCAUGCCUGUUCGAGCGUCAUUUCAACCCUCAAGCACAGCUUGGUGUUGGGACUCGCGUUAAUUCGCGUUCCUCAAAUUGAUUGGCGGUCACGUCGAGCUUCCAUAGCGUAGUAGUAAAACCCUCGUUACUGGUAAUCGUCGCGGCCACGCCGUUAAACCCCAACUUCUGAAUGUUGACCUCGGAUCAGGUAGGAAUACCCGCUGAACUUAAGCAUAUCAAUAAGCGGAGGA
rnacentral:misc_RNA from 1 species